rnacentral:rRNA from 1 species
CGAAGGAUGCAAGCGUUAUCCGGAUUCAUUGGGUUUAAAGGGAGCGUAGGUGGGUUUGUAAGUCAGUGGUGAAAGCCGGUCGCUUAACGAUCGAAUUGCCAUUGAUACUGCAGACCUUGAGUACAGAUGCUGUGGGCGGAAUAUGACAUGUAGUGGUGAAAUACAUAGAGAUGUCAUAGAACACCGAUUGCGAAGGCAGCUCACAAAACUGUAACUGACACUGAGGCUCGAAAGUGCGGGGAUCAAACAGGAUUAGAUACCCUGGUAGUCCGCACUGUAAACGAUGAUUACUCGCUGCUGGGGGGCAACCUUCAGUGGCUGAGCGAAAGCGAUAAGUAAUCCACCUGGGGAGAACGCCGGCAACGGUG